UGCUCUUCUAGCUCCUUGCAUUUGGUUAAAGCAUCCCAAUGACAUUGCUUUUCAUCUUCAAGCUCAUUCUCUAGAGUUUCUACUUUUCCUCGCAGAAGGUUCACUUCAGUUUCUGACUCCUCUGCACGAGCUUCAAGUGACCUGUAUGACUCAGCCAUACAUUUCAGCUGUGUCUCAGCCAAGCUGUUUGACUUCUGUGCAG
rnacentral:misc_RNA from 1 species